CUCGUUCUCGAGCACCACGAUCAGCUCGGCCGCCGCCAACUGCGAUUCAGGGACAUGGCCCACGACAUCCUCGGUAAUGUUUCUUAUACGUCACCACCAAAUGACCUCUAUUCCUUUUGCGGCUUUUGUACCGCGUUGUUGUUCUUGCUGUAGAAUAUUUAUUUUACGUAGAUAUCAAACGAUACUAGUUUUGUUAGAAGCAUGGUCAUAUUUUGGGAUCAGGAGUUUUGACUUGGUCCAAAAUGGAUACGAAGGAACAAAAAGAGACCGGCCAAUAUUUUCUCGCUAAGAGACAUCAAACUGAUAUGUGAACGAAAGCUGCAGUCAAGAAAAAGGAUCACUAUGGAGGUUGGGUGGGCUUCGGCUAGAGAGGGAAAUCAUUUCACCUGCUCUUUGCCUACUUGCGUAACCAUGGUCAACGUGAACAUAUAUCUAUCUACAUGCAGCUUUGACUAAAGGGCCAUAGUUUAGCCAGAAUUAUCUUCCACACUAGCAUCAUACGUUAAAUAAGUCAACAACCAAUUGGUUUGCAAUCCAAAGCCAACCAAAAUUUGAGAAUAUAUGACAUGAUAAAUGGCAGGAAGAAUAUUGACUUGUUAUCAAUAUCAUCUAACACUAACCUUGGUUCUGAAACCCGGUUUAGCCAACGAACCAAUUCCAGGCAGGAACUAACGAUUCUGAUUCCGAUUUCAAUUAUAUGAUUGCAGGCAUCUAUCUUUAUUUUUUUUAUUUGUUAUUUUAGUUUUUAAAAUACUUCUCUAAUCAGCUAUUUAUUAAAUUAUUUGAAGGGUGGAUGUCAUUUACAGUUUUUUUGUUUCUUUUUGGUCAAUUCAGAAUGCUAAUCUUGAACUAAUCAAACGUUUGGGUUCGUAUGAAACAGGGCCAAAAUGGGGUCGUUACUAUGUUGCCCCAAUUCAGUUCACAAUAUGCUUUUCUACAGUUUUUGGUGUAGGCCUACUGGGAGGACAAAGCUUGAAGGUACAUUUAUUGGCUCAAUUCACCUCCUACACCCUUGCACAACCUAUCAAACUAGUCAUUUGUUGCGUUAACCGGACGAAUUAAAUCAAAAUUUUUAUUGGCUCAAUUCACCUCCUGCAGCCUAUCAAACUAAUUAUUCGUUGACUAGAAGAACUAAAUUAAACUAAGCUUUUACAGUCCAUAUACCUGAUUGCAAGGCCGGAAGGCACGAUGAAAUUUUAUGAGUUCGUGGCCAUCUUCGGGGUAUUCAUGAUGGUCCUGGCGCAGAUCCCCUCCUUCCACUCCCUCAGGCAUGUCAACCUCAUCUCUCUAGUGCUCUGCUUGGCGUACAGUGCAUGUGCCACUGCAGGUUCCAUUCAUGCAGGUAUUAUUCCUUUCCCUCUCUACGCUUAAUACACCAUAGAUUACUAGGAUUCUAUUGGACAAUUUAUUUUAGAUAAACAAAACAUAACACAUACCUUGAAUUGAUGACAGGACACUCGGCUGGUGCACCACCGAGAGACUACUCUCUUUCAAGUGAUAGCCAAGACCGUAUCUUCGGCAUAUUCAGUGGCAUUGCAAUCAUCGCAACCACCUACGGCAAUGGUAUCAUUCCAGAGAUACAGG
rnacentral:lncRNA from 1 species